rnacentral:lncRNA from 1 species
ACUGUUCAUCUCAGAUCAUCAGGCAUUACUUAGAUUCUCAUAAGAGCGCAUAACCUAGAUCCCUCGCAUGCACAGUUCACAAUGGAGUUCACGCUCCUAUGAGAAUCUAAUGCUUUCGCUGAUCUGACAGGAGGUGGAGCUCAGGCAGUAAUGCUCACCUGCCUCUUAGCUGCUGUGCAAACCAGUUCUAACAAGCCACGGACGGGUACUACGGGUCCAUGGCCCAGGGACUGGGGACUCUCUAUAUCACUGGUGCUGCAUGGUGUAGUGCCUGAUGCUUAUGAAGAAGUUUAAGCAUGUACUGAGAUGAAAUCUUUUUUAUUUUCAAUUUGUUAAAUAAGGUAUAUUUUCAAUUUGACAUUUUCCAUGAAAUGAUGUUUAAAGAGGCAUUUGAGAAUAAUCUCAAAAUAAUCGAUACCGAAAAAAAUGCUUUGGUUUUGUUUAAAAGGGUAAAAUCCUUUGGGAUACUUAGCUAUCCAAAGUGUCUCUUUCUGGAGGUUUUUCCUCUUGAAGAGUCUGUCUGCAGGGAUGAUGAAGACAAGGCAAGGAAGAGAAAAGAAGGUGAUUUCCCAUAGGUAAGUUCUAGUGGGGGAAAAGAAGUGGCAUUACUUAGUAGAAGCCUUCAAAAUUUAUCAAGGGUUGAAAGUAGAUGCCUCGGAUUGUGGGUUUCUGAGAGAGAUGCGUCUAGUUGUUUAUAACCCCUUAAGGAGAGGGGGAAGAGCCUAAGAGCAGGGAAGACUUGGGAUGAAUGUUCUCGAAGCUUAGGUGCCCCAUCCUAAGCUUUGGAUCUGAUGAGAAGCUGCGGCAAUGGAAAGAGAAGGGCAGAGCACACCGGAUGUGAGGUGUGAAGAGUGAAAAGAUGUUAUUGGGGGCCAGAACCCAAAACAAUCAGACUGGCAGCUGAUGGUGAUGGUGUGCUAGUCACCCUGGCUAUUAGCUCUAGCAUCAGAAUGCUCAGUGACAUUUCUGAGUGGGGCUUAGUUUGGGAGGGGUUUGCUGCUGACAAAGCUGGAUGGAGUCAGAAUUAGGGGGAGCUGAUGAGAUUCAGAAUAUUGUCCGGAAUGAGAAACAGACUGCAUUGCCUUCCCUGC